rnacentral:lncRNA from 1 species
GCCACUUCUGUUUCUCUUUUGAGUUGCUAUAAAGUACAGACGAUUCUACCAACCUUGACACAAACGCCCAGCUGCCCCCAGUUCAGUGCCACAGAGAAAAGCCUUGCAGAACAGGUUGAGUUUGUGGAUGGGCAUGGGGUAGAAGGUAUCAUCUCUUCUCUAUCAAUGACUUGGGUGAUACUUCUGGCAACAAAACAGACAGUUCUCGGCCUCUGUGUUUUCAUUGUCCAACUGAAGAUUAGACAAGAGGCAGCAUGGGGUGGUGGAUAAAUCGUGGACCAGGAUUGAAGCGAAGAUCUGCUCAUCUGGGACACUCACCAGUUAUGAAGACCAGAAAUCUAAAAUAAAGGUGUUGGCAAGACCAUGUCCUCUCUGCAGCCUCUUGGGAAGAAUCCUUCCUUGCCUCCUCCUCUUCUGGUGGUUCUCAUUAUUCCUUGGCUUA